rnacentral:rRNA from 1 species
UACGUAGGGUGCGAGCGUGUCCGGAAUUAUUGGGCGUAAAGAGCUCGUAGGCGGUGUGUCACGUCGGCCGUGAAAACCUGCAGCUUAACUGUGGGCGUGCGGUCGAUACGGGCAUCACUGGAGUUCGGCAGGGGAGACUGGAAUUCCUGGUGUAGCGGUGAAAUGCGCAGAUAUCAGGAGGAACACCGGUGGCGAAGGCGGGGUCUCUGGGGCCGAUACUGACGUGGAGGAGCGAAAGCCGUGGGGAGCAAACAGG